UGUCUGUCUCUAAUUCGGGGGUCCAAUUAUUUCUGAGUAGGUCGGCAAAUGGUCUAAGCCGACGCGCUGGUGGGCCGCUGACCCGGGGUCUUGGAAGACGUUUCAGACCCUUCUGGAGGGGACGGAGUGCCCCGUGAGUAUCUGCGAUUUCUGGAAGGACGGUGCGGGUCGCUCCCGCAGCACAGCGUGAGGCCUUCGUCCUACUUUCAGUUUUGCCUCCAAUCGAGUGGAGGACUGUUUUGUCUUGCCUUUUGUUUUUCUGUUGUGCUUGGCUGUCUGUCUAUCACCGUGUAUUAUUGUUGUCACUUGACUUGGACUGAGACGAUGGGACAGACAGCGACCACCCCCCUGUCCCUCAUGACGGACCAUUUAAAAAAAAAAAAAAGUUAGGGAGCACGCUUAUAAUCUAAGUUUAGAAAUUAAAAAAAAAGGUGGGGGGAAACUAAUCACUCUCUGUAGUUCAGAGUGGCCAACUUACAGAGUGGGUUGGCCACCCGAGGGCACAUUUGACCUCGGAACGGUUAGGAAGAUCCGAAAGGCAGUCUUCCACUCCCAAACGGGACAUCCUGACCAGGUGCCUUACAUCAUCACUUGAGAAAAUCUAAUACGUGACCCCCCUCCAUGGGUCAAGCCCUUUUUGCCUCCACAGAAACAGCAGCCGGAGGUAAUCCUGGCAGCCUAUGAAAAGACUCCCAGAGUCUUUGCGAUGGAAAAAGGCAAACCGAAACCGAGCCGACUGUGCCGCUUUACCCGGUCCUCCAAGGAGGAACUGAUAAAGAUCUCCUCUUUCCCCCUCCCUACCACCCACACCCCUCUCCUCCACUCCCGCCGCCCCCAUUGGGGGCAGAGGGAGGAGCCCCGGCGGCAGCUGAGGAGGAGGCGCCUGCCCCAGUGGGCACCGCUAGUAGAGAUGGCCCCACCCAGAACAUUCACCCGGCAUGCUGCCUCACUGGCAGGACCAGCAGACUCUACUGUUCUCCCGCUGGGAGUGACAGGGCCCCCUGAUGAGCAUGGUAACCAGCCUCAUCACUACUGGCCCUUCACCACCAGUGACCUUUAUAACUGGUGUACUCAAUAUGCCAAAUUCUCAGACAACCCUAGGGAUUUAAUUAACCUGUUAGAAACUGUUUUGUUCACUCAUCAGCCCACCUGGGAUGAUUAUCAACAGCUCCUCCAGAUCCUGUUUACAACAGAGGAACACGAAAGGAUCCAGAAUGAGGCCAGAAAAUUGGUUCCUGGCGACAAUAACCAACUCACUACCAACUUCAAUACUAUUAACCUUUCCUUCCCAUUGUCCCGACCAGAGUGGGACUUCAACACAGCAGAAGAGCUCAACUAUCUACUACUCCUGACCUCAGCUAAGAAGAGCAGGCAGAGGAGUUAUGAUGUGACAGAAAAUAAUCAGAUCCCUUUGAAAAUAAUAUGCAGAUCCAGCUAUCAGGAAGUCAAAAUCUUGAUUAAUUUGGACAAGAGAAGAUGAGACAUGAGAAUGACAGGGAUAUAAAAUCCUGGGAGCCCUGGCCGGGGGAGGGCCUGGUCACAUGGAAACUUCCCCAGGAAAUUUCAUCUGAAAAGAAUGGAGGAAGAAGCAGUGAGUAUACAGCAAAGUGUGUACAUCUUCCCUCACACCUGUUGACCUCAGGGUGCCUCAUUAAAUGGCCAUUCAGAACACUGGAUCAUUUGGUCAUGCACAGGGCAUAGUUUCCUAGGAAGGAUUACUUGGCCUGAUUCCAAGGACAAGAUUUUGAGGAUGAAGUAAACAAAGACUUUUCCUGUUCCAUCAGAAGCCACACCCUGAAAUCAAAAUCACUUUAUGUUCUCUUGAGACACUCUAAAGAGUGGCUGAACUGCAUUUUAUUUAAUUCUUAAACUGACACAGAACUACAUUAAUUUCCAAAGAAUAAUGUGUACAUUGAAGUCAUCAAUGGGGAAUUUUUUGGAUCAGGUUGAUGGAGAACACAUUUCCAGAAACAUAUUUAUUCAUGACAGUGUAUAAAGAUUGGAACAACACAAUUUUCACCAGGGAAGAGUUUAUAAUUAGAAGUAUGACAUGAUGCUAGAAGUAAGGUGUAUUCAUUAGAAAAAAAUAGAAAAUGGAAUAUUCACUGAUGACAAGGAAUUCAAGACUCAUUAACAUUUUGUUUACAUACUAGUAAUUUUUCCCUUUAUCUUCCUUUGUGCCCAUAAAUUUUAUUUGGAUGUGUACUUAUCACUCUCUAUAAUUAUUGUAUUCAGUCAUCCUAAUAUUAUAACAAAAACACUAUAUUCUAACAUGACAUAUGUUAGGUCAGCCUUUUACUAACCAAAACCUCCAUGUGUUACAUAUUCUAUUCUGCCUCAUCCUUCACUGAGUGAACUGUCAACUCGCAGGUGAUAAAUGAACAUUUUGAAGCUCCAAAGAAAUGGGAGGGAACCUUCUUUCCAAUUGGUCUGUGUCAUCUGCUUAAUAUACAAUUUAUACAUGUGGAAUGUGUUUUCCUGUUUUGUGGAACUUGAUUUUGUUUUCUAUUUUGGAAAACUAAAAUGAUCAGAAAGACAUAAUCAGCACUGAAUAUAACAUAAAUUUUGUAAUGAAUACAGUAGAUAAAAUAAUGGUUUUAGUUAUACAUAAUUAAGUCAAAUAUUUUAAAAACAUAAAAAUAAAUAGAAAUACAAUAAUAAGACUAAAAUAUUUCAUUAUUAUCUGUCCAACAAGAGGAAACAAACACGGGAUUGGAAAGAGUAGACAGUGAGAAUCAAGGAACAUAGAUAUUGUGAAUCUUACAUUAAAUCUCAUAAAAUGAACUGUGAUUUAUAGAGGAAAGUUGCUCUGUGAGGAAAAAAGUGUCCUGAAAAUUUCAAGAGAAAAUGUGUCAUGGUAAAUAAAAGCUACUUCUUUAAAGUAUUAUGUUAUUAAUGUACUUACAGAAAGCCAAUGCUGUCCAUCCACAUUUUAACCCUAACAAUCUUAAUCCUAAACCUAUUAAUAUCCCUAACAACCUUAACCCUAAUCCUAAUCAUAACCUUAACAACACUCACCCUAACCCUAAAGUUGAGGUGUAAGAUAAAUAAGAGGAUGGAGUGAAUCUUUAAGCUAAUAUCACCUCAGUAGGCAUGAGAUUGCAAGAUGCCAAGAUGAAGAUUUUUUACUCAAGAUUUUCUAUCAAUGCAACACAUUUGGUCCAUGUGUAGAGAUGCUUAAGAUGACAGAGCACUUGUGGUAACUUCUGGUUCACAGCAGCAAGCAAAGUCACAGCAAGGAUUUAUAAUCCCUUUCAGUGUAAACAUUAGUGUGGUUUAAUUGCUAGUUCAUCACAGUUUAAAUUCCUACUUUCAUUUACAUCCUUUUUCUUUUAUCUUUCUGUCUUUCCCUCAUUCUCUACAAUAUUGUCAUGGUAGUUUUUCAUUUCUUUCAGCUUUAACUGGUAAAAAAAUCAAAUGUUUAUUUCUCUUAUUUUCUUUCUUUCCUGAAUCACAAUAUUUACCCAAAUUUAUGAGGUAAAUUGUAAUAAAUUGAUUUAUGCAUGAGUAGGAAUCAACUGAACUGUAUUAGCAUAUCUAUCAAAAUACACCUUUAUCAUUUCUUUGUGUUAAAUCAUCUGCUAAUCUUUUCAUUUUUUUGAUGAACAGUAUGUAAUUUUUGGUAAAAUUAUAUUUUCAUUGCUAUAUUUUAUUUCCCCAAAUUUUCUAGGUUGAAUUUAUUUUUCUCUGUAGCAUCUCAUACUAGGAGCUGCUUUCCUUAAAUAUAUGUUGCAUGGUACUAAAAUAUUUCCAUUUAUCAUAUGCAUGUCACUGUAUUUUUCAAUUGCGUGUUUUGGUUUGGCUCACUACUAUUCUUGUACA